CGCUGGGGAUUUCACACUUUAUCACCUCGUCUAACGCUCCGCAGAGCACUGGAAAUCGCCGUCUGCAGUAGAGUAAUCCCGUAGUAAUGAGAUUUGAGGUACAUCAAAGUACCGUGCCUUUGAGGGAGGAAAACAGAUCAGAAAAAUAGGACUGAAAUGCAAAUCCUUCACGAAGAUGACCAUGAGUUUUCUACCUCGAGAACACAAUAUGAAAGUGGUGAAUGAGACAGACAGCGAGAAGCUCCCUCUGCCUCACUAAGCCAAGGAGAUGUGUUGAUGAAAGAUCUACCUGUGGCCAUUCAGUUCAACCCCACAACAUGAUUGUGCCAUUUCUGAAAACCAAUUACUGAAUUCAGUGCCACUUGUCACUACCAAGGCCGCAUUAACCAUUGGGCUAGGAAGGGCUGAAGCCCAGGGGCCUGAGCAAGAAGUAGAUUGACGGACAUCGGUAGUGCCGAUCGCCAAAGCUCCACCACGCUCCUCACUUUUUAGCACUAUUAUUUAGUGAAGUUUUUCCAUAAAUUCCAUGCAUAUCAUCAGAGAUUAAAACGUCACAUUUGAAUUUGGUUUUGAACGACCUGUGCACGUAUCUCCUAUCAGGUAAUCGCUGCGUGUAAUAUCUCUA